rnacentral:rRNA from 1 species
AUUUUAAAAUUUAUUUAAUUAAUAUAUAUAUAUAUAUAUAUAUAUAUAUAUAUAUAAUUUUAUUAAAUAAUUAGUAUUUUUAUUAGAUUAAGAAAAAUUUUAUUUUAUGAUAGAUUAAUAGUACUGAAAAGGAAAAUUAUAUAAAUUUAUAAAAGAAACAAUAUUGUGUACCUUGUGUAUCAGGGUUUAUUAAAAAUUUAAUAUUUAUAUAUUUAUCUCGAAUUUAAAAGAGCUAUAUAGUUAUAAAUAUUAUUGUUUAAUAAAUAUUUAUAAUAAUUAUAUAGUAAUGAAAUGUUAUUCGUUUUUAAAUAUAUCUAGUUUUUUAAGAAAAGAAUUUAAUUCAUUAUAAAAAUUAUAAAAAUUUAAUUUUUAAUUUUUUGAAUUUUUAUUUUAAUAGUUUUAGGGAUAAGCUUGAAAUUAAAUUAUUAUAAUUAAAUAUUAUAAAUUAAUAAUUUAUAGAAUUAGAAAUUUUUACUAUUUGAAGUUUGUUAAAAUUUGUUAUUUAAUUAAAAAUAUUUAUAUAUUAAUUUAAUUUUUUUAUUAAAGUAAAUUUAAUAAUAAAAAUUAUAUUGAAAUAAUGAUAAAAUUAGUAUUAAUUAUUUUGUAAAAAUAUAAGUAAUUACGAAAGGUAUAAUUAAGUAAUUAGGCAAAAAUAUCUUUCACCUGUUUAAUAAAAACAUCUCUUUUUGAUUAUAAUUUAAAGUAGGACCUGCCCACUGAAUAAAAUUUGAAGGGCCGCAGUAUUUUGACUGUGCAAAGGUAGCAUAAUCAUUAGUUUUUUAAUUGAAAGCUUGUAUGAAUGGUUUGAUGAGAAGAUAACUUUCUAAAUUUUAUUAUUUAAAAAUUUUAUUUUUAAGUUAAAAAGCUUAAAUUUUUUUAAAAGACGAGAAGACCCUAUAGAGUUUAAUUUAUAAAAGAUUUUUAAUUUAAAGAAUUAUAAAAUUUAAAAUUUUUAUUAAAUUUGAUUGGGGUGAUAAAAAAAUUAGAUUAACUUUUUUAACUUUAACCAUUAAUUUAUGAAAAAUUGAUCCAUUUUUAUGAUUAAAAGAAUAAAUUACCUUAGGGAUAACAGCGUUAUUUUUUUUUAGAGUUCAAAUCGAAAGAAAAGAUUGCGACCUCGAUGUUGGAUUAAAGUUAAAUUUAGGUGUAGAAGCUUAAAUAUUUGGUCUGUUCGACCAUUAAAACUUUACAUGAUCUGAGUUUAAACCGGUGUAAGCCAGGUUGGUUUCUAUCUUUAAUAAUUUAAUAAAUUUUAGUACGAAAGGACCAAGUUUAUGAUUUAAAAUUUUAUAAAUGAAUAAAAUU